AACGAACGCUGGCGGCAGGCUUAACACAUGCAAGUCGAGCGCCUCGCAAGAGGAGCGGCAGACGGGUGAGUAACGCGUGGGAACGUACCCUUAUCUUCGGAAUAGCUCUGGGAAACUGGAAGUAAUACCGAAUGUGCCCUUAGGGGGAAAGAUUUAUCGGAUAAGGAUCGGCCCGCGUUGGAUUAGCUAGUUGGUGGGGUAAGGGCCUACCAAGGCGACGAUCCAUAGCUGGUCUGAGAGGAUGAUCAGCCACAUUGGGACUGAGACACGGCCCAAACUCCUACGGGAGGCAGCAGUGGGGAAUAUUGGACAAUGGGCGCAAGCCUGAUCCAGCCAUGCCGCGUGAGUGAUGAAGGCCUUAGGGUUGUAAAGCUCUUUCACCGGAGAAGAUAAUGACGGUAUCCGGAGAAGAAGCCCCGGCUAACUUCGUG
rnacentral:rRNA from 1 species